CCUCCCACUAGCCUUCGUUACUGCCUGCCGCUUCCUGUGGCGCCGCUCUCUCGUGAAAAUUGCAGCUGUUGGCAAUUCCCAUCAUCAGGACAUACACACACGCAUACGAGGCUGGCUGAGACUGUCUGUCAAUAUUAAAGUGCCAUUAGGGGGAGACACACAUCUCUCAGCCAUUCGUCUUGAGCAAAGCAGGCGGAUAUCUGCUGCCAAGGAAACUGUCACCCAAAAAUUCCCUUGGAAUUUGGGCUCUAUUACUGCGGCAAUUAUCCCUCACUGGAUUUGAUGGGAUUCCCAAGGAAUUAAUGCAGCCAUUGAUCUAUGUAGCAAGUGCAUGUGACACCCUGUUUUUCUACACAUCUGAGAAAGGGAAUACUGUACGAGCAUGAGUCCGGGAGUGGUUGCGGGUGCGGGUGCGAGUGACGGCACAACGAAAAUGGCUCAAGAGCUCGAGUGCUGCAGCUCGAAUGUUGCCAUAAAUAUUGAAGCGCCACAGACCGCUACACCAUCUACAUGUAGACGAUUCGUUUACACAGAGAAAAGUUGUUGGUAUUCUUCGGUUUGUUUCAAGGUACUAGGCGUUAAAUAAAACAAAAUAAGCCCAAUCCCCUAUACUGAAGCAAAGGUCUUGCUUGAAGUCAAAAUAGUACCAAAAAUCAGCCCCAAAGGAAUACCAUUAGAUCGGUCUAUAGUGGCGGCUCUUUCAAAAACCAUGCACAACAUACAUACUGUACGAGCAUGUGCGUGGACUUCCUAUUGAAAGGAUACCUGGCCAAAAGGUGAAAGGCAGUUUCAGCUCAUUUCGGGAGCAGAGAAAUGCUCCCAGUCCGGCUGGCAGCACGAAGCAGCGGCAAAUUGAAAGUUCAAUCAGAUUUAGAUGGAGUUGGGGCAAUGGCCCAAUGUGGGUAUGUGCAUGUGCAUAAAUAUAGCUGUACAUAAAAUAUAAUAUUUAUAAAGAUAUAUAUGUGUAUAUAUAUACAUAUGAAA